UCGCGGCUCAUCCCCGUUUCCGGUUCUUACUACUAGCAUGUCAAGCCCAGGUAAGGUUCUUCGCGUUGCGUCGAAUUAAACCACAUGCUCCGCUGCUUGUGCGGGCCCCCGUCAAUUCCUUUGAGUUUCAACCUUGCGGUCGUACUCCCCAGGCGGGGUACUUCCUGCGUUAGCGCCGGCACCCAGAGGGUCGCUCCCCCAGGCACCUAGUACCCAUCGUUUACGGCGUGGACUAC
rnacentral:misc_RNA from 1 species